rnacentral:rRNA from 1 species
AUGUUACCCAUGGUCAUACAGGGAAAGUGUGAAGCACUCUGGACAAUUUUCCGCAUUUCUCAUCCAAGAAGCCGUUACAUUUAUGAUCUUUUCUAUAGAAGAAGGAAGGAUAUAUCUAAGGAGCUGUAUGAAUUUUGCCUGGGCCAGGAUUAUGCAGACCGUAAUCUGAUUACAAAGUGGAAAAAGGCUUCCUUUAGAUCCAAUGUACUUCAAGGCAUUGAUAGUGUCUACCGAAUUCAAGUGCUUGGAAGGAAUAUCGAUUGA